AAGCCUGUGUUUAUUUAGUCCCAGGGCUCAGCCUCAAUUCCAAAGCAGUACUAUCUCCUGCCCUUUGGUACAGAAGCAACGGAUUCCGAGGACACUCCAAGAUGAGCUCCCAGACCCAGCUCCUUUGUCUCCUGGUGAUGGGUUUUCAGGGCUGCUGGGGACAGAUCACACUGACCCAGACUCCAGAGACCCUGGCAGCAUCUCAAGGAAGCUUUGUCUCCAUAACAUGUAAGAGCAGCGUGGAGGUAGGUACCUCCAUGGCCUGGUACCAACAGAAACCCAAGGAGCCUCCCAGGCUGCUCAUCUUUGGAGCUUCUGCCCGGGCCUCAGGAACCCCGUCCAGGUUCCGAGGAAGUGGCUCUGGCUUUGACUUCUCCCUCGCCAUCCAUGGAGUAGAAGCUGAAGAUGUUGGGGUGUAUUACUGUCAGCGGCACAUCAGCCCGCCUCUCACAGUGACAGGCCCUCAAACAAAAAUAUCAUUUCUGGUCUAA